AUUGAACGCUGGCGGCAGGCCUAACACAUGCAAGUCGAGCGGAUGAAGGGAGCUUGCUCCUGGAUUCAGCGGCGGACGGGUGAGUAAUGCCUAGGAAUCUGCCUGGUAGUGGGGGAUAACGUCCGGAAACGGGCGCUAAUAUCGCAUACGUCCUGAGGGAGAAAGUGGGGGUUCUUCGGACCUCACGCUAUCUGAUGAGCCUAGGUCGGAUUAGCUAGUUGGUGGGGUAAAGGCCUACCAAGGCGACGAUCCGUAACUGGUCUGAGAGGAUGAUCAGUCACACUGGAACUGAGACACGGUCCAGACUCCUACGGGAGGCAGCAGUGGGGAAUAUUGGACAAUGGGCGAAAGCCUGAUCCAGCCAUGCCGCGUGUGUGAAGAAGGUCUUCGGAUUGUAAAGCACUUUAAGUUGGGAGGAAGGGCAGUAAGUUAAUACCUUGCUGUUUUGACGUUACCAACAGAAUAAGCACCGGCUAACUUCGUG
rnacentral:rRNA from 1 species